GUGGGGAAUUUUGGACAAUGGGGGCAACCCUGAUCCAGCCAUCCCGCGUGUGCGAUGAAGGCCUUCGGGUUGUAAAGCACUUUUGGCAGGAAAGAAAUCGCACGGGAUAAUACCUCGUGUGUAUGACGGUACCUGCAGAAUAAGCACCGGCUAACUACGUGCCAGCAGCCGCGGUAAUACGUAGGGUGCAAGCGUUAAUCGGAAUUACUGGGCGUAAAGCGUGCGCAGGCGGUUCGGAAAGAAAGAUGUGAAAUCCGAGGGCUUAACCUUGGAACUGCAUUUUUAACUACCGGGCUAGAGUGUGUCAGAGGGGGGUGGAAUUCCGCGUGUAGCAGUGAAAUGCGUAGAUAUGCGGAGGAACACCGAUGGCGAAGGCAGCCCCCUGGGAUAACACUGACGCUCAUGCACGAAAGCGUGGGGAGCAAACAGGAUUAGAAACCCGUGUAGUCC
rnacentral:rRNA from 1 species